rnacentral:rRNA from 1 species
GAUGAACGCUGGCGGCGUGCUUAACACAUGCAAGUCGAACGGACAGGCUCCUGCUUGCAGGGGUACUCGAGUGGCGAACGGGUGAGUAACACGUGGGUGAUCUGCCCUUCACUUCGGGAUAAGCCUUGGAAACUGGGUCUAAUACCGGAUAGGACGAUGUUUUGGAUGCCAUUGUGGAAAGUUUUUCGGUGUGGGAUGAGCUCGCGGCCUAUCAGCUUGUUGGUGGGGUAAUGGCUUACCAAGGCGUCGACGGGUCGCCGGCAUGAGAGGGUGUACGGCCACAUUGGGACUGAGAUACGGCCCAGAAUGCUACGGGAGGCAGCAGUGGGGAAUAUUGCGCAAUGAGGGCAAGCCUGAUGCAGCGACGCCGCGUGGGGGAUGACGGCCUUCUGGUUGUAAACUUCUUUCGCUAGGGACGAAGAGCAAGUGACGGUACCUGGAGAAGAAGCACCGGCUAACUACGUG